ACAUAUGUUCGGGGGAGGGACCCCAGAAGGCGGCUGACAGUAUUCCUUUAGCCAGAAAUCCCUUCAGGGAAGAGAAAGGUGCUCCCCUUUGCCUGCUUUUAUACUACAGACUGUUUCCAACUCCAGCUAGAAGUGACUAUUGCCGAUUAUGCUAAUCAGUGGCGACAAGCUCCCUUUGACUGCUCACUUCUCCAUAUUUUCCAGAAAAUAUUUCAAGCAGAAUAUACUUAUUUUCCAGUUUUGAAAACAACUAGAUUGCCCAUCUCCAUUUCUCUCUAUCAUCUACUGUAUUAUUCUAUGGACAACUGCCACCCUAAUAAGGUCAAGAAGGGAAGCCAGAAGUCAAGGCCACAGAAGACACAGGAAACAUCAUUUCCAAAGUGGGAGACAAAGCUGUUAACAGGAAAUUAUUUGUAAAGUCAAGAGCCAAGCAAAACAGAAAAAGGACAAGAAAUCUAUCACCUAGAUUAGUUAUAAAUAAAGAACAUAUAGCCAGCUACAUUACAUUCCUAGAUGCCUGAGUUUCUAUCAAUAGUGCAAUUUUUUGAUGAAACACAUAGAAAAUAUCAACAUGGCAAACUCUGAGAUGUUACCUGGCGCCCUUCCACCAAAAAGGAUUUCUACCUCCUUUUCAAGACUGAUUCAUCUCUAGUUCACAAACAAUCUAGCACUGAAAUAUUUCAGGUACCCACUCCUCUGAGGUCAUUGUAAAAGCGAAGAAUGAGACAACACCAUAUAAAAGAAAAUUGUGUCACCUUUUCAGCAAAUAAAAAGUUCAGUCUCAA
rnacentral:lncRNA from 1 species